AUGAGAUUUCCUGUUGAGUUUUGUGUUGUGAAGUUUUCAAGUUUUGGGAAAAGAUUUGAUGGACUAUGGAAUAAGGAGUGGCAAGAGCCUAAACUCGGGGAUGCCCAUGGCACCGCAAGAUAUUCCAGAAUAGCCAAAAGCCUAAGCUUGGGGAUGCCCCGGAAGGCAUCCCCUCUUUCGUCUUCGUUUAUCAGUAACUUUACUUGGAGCUAUAUUUUUAUUUGCCACAUGAUAUGUGUUUUGCUUGGAGCGUCUUGUAUGAUAUUAGUCUUUGCUUUUCAGUUUACCACAAUCAUCCUUGUUGCACACACCUUUUGGGAGAAGUCCACUUGA
rnacentral:rRNA from 1 species